rnacentral:rRNA from 1 species
CCAAUAGCGUAUAUUAAAGUUGUUGCAGUUAAAAAGCUCGUAGUUGAAUUUCGGGGUUAGUAGGUUGGUCAUGCCUCUGGUAUGUACUGGUCUCACUGAUCCCUCCUUCCUGAUGAGCCGUAAUGCCAUUAUUUUGGUGUUGCGGGGAAUUUGGACUGUUACUUUGAAAAAAUUAGAGUGUUUAAAGCAGGCUUAACGCUUGAAUACAUUAGCACGGAAUAAUGAAAUAGGACGUUCGAUCCUAUUUUGUUGGUUUCUAGGAUUGACGUAAUGAUUAAUAGGGAUAGUUGGGGGCAUUAGUAUUCAAUUGUCAGAGGUGAAAUUCUUGGAUUUAUUGAAGACUAACUACUGCGAAAGCAUUUGCCAAGGAUGUUUUCAUUAAUCAAGAACGAAAGUUAGGGGAUCGAAGACGAUCAGAUACCGUCGUAGUCUUAACCAUAAACUAUGCCGACUAGGGAUCGGAUGAUGUUAAUUUUUUAAUGACUCAUUCGGCGCCUUACG